GGCCACGAUGGUUUCCACUCGGUGUCGGAGCUCGCAGUCACAGAAAUACUGCAGGAGCGUGCACAUCUGGAAGAGAAGGAGCAGAACCUCAGAACCUCCUGGGAUCUCGGCUUCAGAUGUCGACUUCAGCUAAAAGCACCAAUCCAGCCCAGAAACCCGGAGCUGCCUCAACGCCCAGACUGCAGGGCUAAGGAGGAAAUUCUGAUGGAUCCAGAGAGAAUGGGUGAAUUAGUGGAGAUGAGAUACCAGAGGAGGCCUCCAGACGAUCCAGUUUACUGACCAACCAGUCCAGGUUGUCACAGAACAACGCACAGUUGGAGCGGUUCCCUCGGAUCAGCGAGGCUGUGAGCUCGUAGAGGAGGUUGACAAUCUCCUUCCAGGACUCGGCCGCCUCCUCGCCUGCAAACUCUGAGAAGUGAGCGGCGGUGUUGUAGACGUUCAGGCGGUCGAUGCACUCCAACACGAUGCUCUCUACUAAUGAAACCUUAGUUUGAUGCUCCGAACCGUCCGUCUGGAUUCAAAAGCUUCCCUUUUGGGUUUCCGAACUGGUGAAACGUCGGUGAGAAAUGUUCCUCCUCCGGUGGACGGAAGUAGAAGAUGAGAUCCUGAAGGGAGAGGAUGACUCCAUCCAGAGGAAGAGACACGGAACCUGGAGACUUGUUCUUCCCGCUCAGAGAGUCCAGUCGCCUGGGAAAGAGAGGGAAGAAUCCCGUAGCUGGGAGGAGGGAUUUCCUUGUGUUCCCACCACAAACCUGUUUAGUAGAGACCCACGUACUUGAUGAACUGCCUGAAGAGACCUGUGGUGCUGUAAAUCAUCCGAGCAGCCUGAGAUUCCUCGCUUUGGGAGCGGGACACUGUGAGGGCGUCGUCCAUGUGACCCUCCUGAUGCAGAAUCACCUGAACACACAGAUUAAACAAAUGUUUAAAACUCCCAA